rnacentral:lncRNA from 10 species
UGAAGAAAUAGCAGGGAAGAAGUCAGACAAGUUCUCAUCCUCAUGGAGUUUACAGGCUAGUGGUAGGAGACACAGCUAUUAAACACAUAAUUAUACAGGUAAUUAAUUGCCAUUGUGAUUACUACAAAGAAGUGCAGAGUGCCAGGAGAGUCAGUUAAGAGUGCUGGAGAACCAGCAGGAAACCAGGAGGGCGCAGACCAAGAAGAAAAUUACAGAGGGGAAGAACUCCAGAGGCAGCACCUGGGCCCAGCGGGUGUCAGCAGGGCUCAGGUCAGAGAGAGGCAGGACCUGCAUGGAAGCUGAACAGGGGAGGCAGGCGGAGAGUAGAGAGCAAGUCAUCUCUGCAGGAAGUGAGGAGUGGCCUCAUGGAAAUGGGUGGCGGCUCUUGAGACCAUCCUUUCUCCCUUUCUUUCCUCCCUUUCCUUCCUUCCCUUCCUCCUUUCCUUUUUCCUUUCCUUUCUUCCUUUCUUUUUUUUUUUUUUUGAGACAGGGUCUUACUCUGUUGCCCAAGCUGGAAUGCGGCGGUGCCAUCAGAGCUUACUGUAGCCUCAAUCUCCCAGGCUCAAGUGAUCUUCCCACCUCCCAUCUCAGCAUCCCAGAGUAGCUAAGCCUGUAGGUGCACACCACCAUGCCUGACUAAUUUUUGUAGAGAAGGGGUCUUGCCAUGUUGCCCAGGCUGGUCUUGAGCUCCUGUGCUCAAGCAAUCCUCCCACCUCAGCCUCCCAAAGUGCUGGGAUUACAGGCGUGAGCCACUGCACCCGGCCUUCCCUUGCUUUCUUGCUGAUCAAAAAUAUUUAUUGAGUAUGCCAUUCUGAAAACAUUAAAUUAUUAUCUUAUUUGCCCACUGAGGUAGGUACCAUCCCCGUUGCUACACAGACAAGGAGGCCAAGGCUCAGUAGGGUCAAAUGUCUUGCCCCAUCUCAGGUCACAGAGGUCUUGUGUGGCUGAGCUGGGGUUUAGACCUGGAUCUGCCUUAUUGCUUAGCCACAGGAUUCUCUACUGCCCGGUCUUGAUCACGGAAAAGAAGCUCUUCAGAUCACACCCCUCAGCCUCACCAUCAUCUAACAGGUGAAGAAGAGAAGCUCCGAGGGGUAAACCAACUACCUGGUCCCCAUUGUAAAGGUGGUGAGUGUCUGAGGGUUCUCCAAGGAAGUGCUCUCCCUGACCCAUGAGGAAUGUUCACCCUCCUCUGCAGAGGCAGCCAGGUAGAAGGAACCCUGACCUACUGGAAUGAUCUGGAAGUCAGUGGACAUCUUGGGACUGUUUGGAGAGACAGGCUCCCCCUUCGACGGUACUGUUCAGGUAGUGAGGCAUGUGGAAGGGACACACUAGUGGGUCCUGAUUAGAGGAGGAAGAAUGAGGAAACCGCAAAUAAUUCAUAUAUUUUGUUUAAGGGAGACACAUGAGUUAUGUGUGUGUAUAAAGACUAACAGGUGCCAACAGUCAACAGGUUUUGCCAAACUCUGAGGAUUGCCAGGUGGACCAGAGCCAAGUCCUGCAGCUGGACUUCUGGCAGAAAGGGUCCCUUGUGGAGGCCAGAAGGAGAAGCUGGGACCAGUUAUAACCUGGCUAUCUUGGCUCUCCAAGUGCUCAGGAAUCUGGAAUCAAUGAGAAGCGGAGAUUCAGGCCGUAUCUGUCCAAGGAGGGGGAGAAGAGGAAAGAAUGGGAAGGGAAUUAACUUUUACGGCAGACUCACACAUGCCAAGCACUUCACAGGCUACCUCAAUUAACACAUGACAUGGCGAGGAGGCUGGAGAUGUGUUUUAGCCAUGUGCUGUGGAAGAAGAAAAGGCAGAACACAAGUAUUGGUAAGCUAUCAGCCAUCACCCUCACAUAGGCUGACCCCCACGAUGGGAAGCCCCACACCUUUUUUUUUUUUUUUAAGAGAGGGUCUUACACUGAUGCCCAGGCGGGAGUGCAGUGUGGUGAUCAUGGCUCACUGCAGCCUUGACCUCCAGGGCUCACGCGAUCCUCCACCUCAGCCUCCCAAGUAGCCGAGACCACAGCCACGUGGCACCACACUCAGCUUUUUUUUUUUUCUUUUUUGUAGAGAUGAGGUUUCACUAUAUUGCCCAGGCUGGUCUCACACUCCUGGACUCAAGUGAUCCUCCUGUCUCAACCUCCCAAAGUGUUUGGGAUUACAGGCAUGAGCCACCCCACCUGGCCAGAAAACUCCUUCUUAACUGUGGAUUGAAGGGCAACCCCAAACUUCAACAAAAUGUGAAUUGGAUCAUUUCAUAAAUGCUGCUGAGGAAAAUGGGUAAGUGUGGAAUAAAUUAAAAUGAGACUUGUACAUCACUCCCUAGACUUCUUGAUUUCAAGGGAGCUAACGAGUUAAAUCAUUUAAAACUGCCACAAAGAUUAUGGGAAAACAGAAACACAUAUGCACCUCAACUGUGGAGGAGUGACAGUUUUUUAACUAAAAUUAGUAGAGACCAUGACAAUCAGCUAAACAACAAGAACGAAAAAAGCAAGGGGCUGGAAAAAUAUAUAAAUGAUGAGUUUGGUGACCCAGUUAGGUGGGAGAGUAAAUAUAAACUAUGAGGGAAAUACCCAGCAUCCAAUGGACAGACAGAGGGCCAACAACUUUGAGACACUUGGCAGAGGAGGGUCAAAAACUCAGGAACUAUUUUAGUCUUUAUAGUACUUAAUGAUAUGCAAAUAUUGUGUCACAGCCAAGAAGACCCUAACUCUUAUCAACGAAUUUAGCAAAAAUCAGUUAAAAUGAUGAGGCCCAAGGCUGAUCUGUAGGAAAACCUCUGGGCAUAAGAAUCAGCUCAGCAGUCCGGAGGAAACCUGACAAGAUGAUGUAUUCCUGUGCCCUGGGUGCACACGUAUCUCACCCUUGGGGACAGAUCUCAAGAAAACAACUCAAGUGCAAUAGCAAUUCAAGAGCGAGACUACCUGUCUGCCCAGGUGCCUGCAGUUAUAGGCAGGUUGCCUAAAAUCCUAUGCUUGGAUGUUCUGUUGCUAUAAGAAGUCAGAGAGACAAGGGAGUUCAUCCCAAGUCUGCCAUUUACUAGCUGUGUGACUUUGGAUAAGUCACUCAACCUCUCUGAGCCUCAGUUCCCUCUUGGAUUAAAAUGGGAAUAGAUCGCCACCUCCUUAGGUUGUGUUAAAUGAGGUCAUGGCUGUCAAGUGUCUACACAGUGCCCUGCAUGGAGUGUUUGACAAAGGGUAGCUGUUGCUAUUGGAGGAUGACCACUGGACAGAUCCUGGAGAGACAGUUCCUGCUUGCAAAGGAUGAAGUAACAUCAGGAAGUCUCAGCAGCUUUCUAUCCUGAAGAGGAGCUGGUAUCUUUGCCUCCUAGUUUAUUUUUAUUACAAAGCCAGAAAAAGGAAAAUAAACCUCUGCCACAACUACUGACUCCACCAAAAUGCAAAGGGAAGCUCUUCAAAGAGUGUUACAUUGGUCUAAUGCUGGGAGGAAAACGCUGGGUGAGGCUCCCACUCCCACCCAACGGUUUGAAGACUGGGGUGUCCCCAAGGGUCUGGAAAUGCACAUUUUUUGAGGCAUGCUCUGUGACAUGGGUUUUAUAACAGUGAGUUGGGAAUUUUCACCUCCGUUUUGUUUUUGAGACAGGGUCUUGCUCUUUCACCACUGCUGAAGUACAGUGACACGAUCAUGGCUCAUCGCAGCCUCGACCUCCCGGACUCAAGCGACCCUCCCACCUCAGCCUCCCCAAUAGCUGGAACUACAGGCAUGUGCCACCAAGCCUGGCUAAGUUUUAAAAAUUUAAAUGGGGCCUCCCUAUGUUGCCCAGGCUGGUCUCAAACUCCUAGGAUCAAGUGAUCCUCCCGCCUCGCCCUCCCAAAGUGCUGGGAUUACAGGCGGGAGCCACCUCCGUUUUGAGAGAGAGAAAACCUGCCCAAGGUGGUAAGUCAAGAGACCCCCUAUGACAGGUCCCCAGAGCCCUGCUGCUAACCACUGCACCUUGCUGCCUUCAGCUGCCCUGCCAGGAGCAGCUCGGGUGCGUGGCAUGCGCCUGAAGAGAUGCAGG